UACAAAACUUUUCAUUAUAUAUCUGGUGUAGCUCUCAUUGGCAAUUUGUCAUUACAUCUGACAAGCAGGGUCAUUGCACAAAGAAAUUCCAGCUAAAGAGAAAGACCUCUGCAUUUCUGAUCGGCAUUUUGUCAAGCGCCUCCUUUUCUGGGUCGCUCCACCUCCAAAAAUGGAAGAGGAACAUGUCACUCCUCCGAACGGCGACAACUUGUCUCAAAAGGUGGUGGCGGUGGCCGCCGGCGAAGCACACUCUGGCUCUCACCGGCGAUGGGUUUGUGUAUUCGUGGGGAAGAGGCAUGUUUGGGCGGCUUGGGACCGGUUCGGAGUCCGACGAGCUUGCCCCGGUUCGAAUCAAGUUCAAUGAUCCUCGCAGUGAAGAAGGAGCGAGGCUCAAAUUUGUGGGAGUUGCCGCCGGUGCUUACCACAGUCUUGCUCUUGCUGAAGAUGGAUCGGUUUGGUGCUGGGGUCACAACAAAUAUGGCCAACUCGGUGUAACUGGAGAAAAUUCUUUGGUGCCCAUCUUGCUGGAGCAGUUUCUUGAGGUGGCCUCUGCAACGGAGAGUGACGUGCCACUAAAGGUUUGUUCUGUUAAAGCUGGAGGGAUGAUGUCCCUAGCAAUUGAUAGCAUUGGUGUCCUCUGGGUGUGGGGAAAUUUCCCACACGAAAGCAGCAGCAAUGAAGGUGGGUUCUCGCUGAUUAGUAGUUGCACCCCAACUCCUGUUUGGGAUUUCUAUGGCCAUGUUGUUGUGAGGGUGGCAUGUGGAAAUGAGCAUGUUGUGGCCCUGGUUUCUGCCGGAGAAACAUAUAAAGGUGAAGAUCUUGUUUGCUUCUCUUGGGGCGGUAACGGCCAUGGCCAGUUAGGCCUGGGGGAUAAAGAGAGCAGGAAUCGUCCUCAAAUAGUAGAACUAUUUGAUCACGACUCCCCCUUCGCAGUUUAUGAGGUAGUAUGUGGUGCUUUUCACACAGCUUUGCUUACCCACAGAAAAAGCCCAAAUGACACAUUGGAAAGCAUGUGUUGGACGUUUGGCCUUGGAGAAAAUGGGCAGCUCGGGCAUGGAACCACCGAAAGUGGAUUGUCUCCUGAACCUGUGAAAGAACUGCCACAGAAUGUAUAUCUGGUGUCUGUUGACUGUGGCUUAUUUCACACCAGCGUUGUUUCAUCUGCUGGAGAUGUGUGGUCGUGGGGAAUGGAGAAGGGUCUUGGCCUAUGCCGAGAUGCUACUUUUAGCGAGACUGAUUCAGGGGAUGCCAUCUCUCCCCUACAGAUUAACGGAUUGAAUGGAACAAAAUUUCAGGAUCCAAUCCAAGUUGUCUGUGGGGCUGCCCAUACUGUUCUUGUUGCAAAUGAUGGAUUUAAGCUGUGGUCUUGGGGGAGAGGAAGGAGUGGGGUUCUUGGAAAUGGUAAGACGAUUGACUGUUAUUCUCCUGCUGAGGUCUUGUGGCCUCUGCUUACAGCGGAUUUCAAGCAAGAAGAAUUAAACACUGACGAUAAGCGAAAACCUAUUGCCGAUGGAGGUAACAGAGGGGAAAGAAAUUUGACAGGAGACGCCGAAGCAGAGAUGUAAGAAAUGAUAAAAGGAAUGUCUCGGUUCUUCUCCGGUAAAUCGAGGUGUGUGAUUGUGAAUGGUGAAUACAAAGGCAAUGUGCCUAUGUUUGAAUCUGCAAUACAAAUCUCAGUGCAGUUUGUACAGAAACUUUGGAAGUUGGUUUUUCCAAGUUGUUUGCUUGCUAUAUAGAUGUAAAGUGAGUGUUUGAUUCUUUAGAAUUAAAGAGAUAAUGUGUGAUUGAGGAAAUGAUUUGUAAUGUUUGAAUAAAGAGCUUGGGGAUCAUGUAUUUGUCUGCUCCGUCACUCUACUAAAUUGUAAUUGACAUAUUUUGUGAUUGAACAAUUCUAAUUAUGAUUUUUAUAGGAUAAAAUAAUUUCUUUUUA